rnacentral:rRNA from 1 species
CUACGGGGUGCAGCAGUAGGGAAUUUUGGGCAAUGGGGGAAACCCUGACCCAGCAACGCCGCGUGAGUGAAGAAGGUUUUCGGAUCGUAAAUCUCUGUCAGGUGGGAAGAAUAAAGGCCGGUUAACCCCGGUCCUUGACCGCCACCAAAGGAAGCACCGGCUAACUCCGUGCCAGCAGCCGCGGUAAUACGGAGGGUGCAAGCGUUGUCCGGAUUUAUUGGGCGUAAAGGGCGUGUAGGCGGCCUGACAAGUCUGAUGUGAAAGCCCUCGGCUCAACCGGGGAAGUGCAUUAGAAACUGGCGGGCUUGAGUGCGGGAGAGGAAGGUGGAAUUCCCAGUGUAGCGGUGAAAUGCGUAGAUAUUGGGAGGAACACCAGUUGCGAAGGCGGCCUUCUGGACCGUCACUGACGCUGAGACGCGAAAGCGUGGGGAGCAAACAGGAUUAGAUACCCUAGUAGUC